UACGGGAGGCAGCAGUGGGGAAUAUUGGACAAUGGGCGAAAGCCUGAUCCAGCCAUGCCGCAUGAGUGAAGAAGGCCUUCGGGUUGUAAAGCUCUUUUAGUGAGAAAGAUAAUGACGGUACUCACAGAAGAGGUCCUGGCUAACUCCGUGCCAGCAGCCGCGGUAAUACGGAGAGGGCUAGCGUUAUUCGGAAUUAUUGGGCGUAAAGAGCGCGUAGGCUGAUUAGUAAGUUAAAAGUGAAAUCCCAAAGCUUAACUUUGGAAUUGCUUUUUAAAACUGCUAGUCUAGAGAUUGAAAGAGGAUAGAGGAAUUCCUAGUGUAGAGGUGAAAUUCGUAAAUAUUAGGAGGAACACCAGUGGCGAAGGCGUCUAUCUGGUUCAAAUCUGACGCUGAGGCGCGAAGGGCGUGGGGAGCAAACAGGGAUUAGAUACC
rnacentral:rRNA from 1 species